UACGGCGACGGCCUGGUGGCGCGGGUGCGCGCGCUCGCCCCGCGCGGGGUGGACGCGGCGAUCGACGCCGCAGGGAUCGACGCCCUCACCGCGUC
rnacentral:tRNA from 1 species